AUUGAACGCUGGCGGCAUGCCUUACACAUGCAAGUCGAACGGCAGCGGGGGAGAAGCUUGCUUUUCCUGCCGGCGAGUGGCGAACGGGUGAGUAAUACAUCGGAACGUGCCCUGUAGUGGGGGAUAACUAGUCGAAAGAUUAGCUAAUACCGCAUACGACCUGAGGGUGAAAGUGGGGGACCGCAAGGCCUCAUGCUAUAGGAGCGGCCGAUGUCUGAUUAGCUAGUUGGUGGGGUAAAGGCCUACCAAGGCGACGAUCAGUAGCUGGUCUGAGAGGACGAUCAGCCACACUGGGACUGAGACACGGCCCAGACUCCUACGGGAGGCAGCAGUGGGGAAUUUUGGACAAUGGGCGAAAGCCUGAUCCAGCAAUGCCGCGUGUGUGAAGAAGGCCUUCGGGUUGUAAAGCACUUUUGUCCGGAAAGAAAUGGCUCUGGUUAAUACCUGGGGUCGAUGACGGUACCGGAAGAAUAAGGACCGGCUAACUACGUGCCAGCCGCCGCCGUAA
rnacentral:rRNA from 1 species